UAUAACUGGAGGAAGGUGGGGAUGACGUCAAGUCAUCAUGGCCCUUACGAGUAGGGCUACACACGUGCUACAAUGGCAGAUACAAAGAGAAGCGACCUCGCGAGAGCAAGCGGAACUCAUAAAGUCUGUCGUAGUCCGGAUUGGAGUCUGCAACUCGACUCCAUGAAGUCGGAAUCGCUAGUAAUCGUAGAUCAGAAUGCUACGGUGAAUACGUUCCCGGGCCUUGUACACACCGCCCGUCACACCAUGGGAGUGGGUUGCAAAAGAAGUAGGUAGCUUAACCUUCGGGAGGGCGCUUACCACUUUGUGAUUCAUGACUGGGGUGAAGUCGAGCAGGA
rnacentral:rRNA from 1 species